GUCCUCGAUGGCUCAGUUGGAUAGAGCAUCUGCCAUACAAGCAGGAGAUGCCGGGUUCAAGUCCCGGUCAGGGCA
rnacentral:tRNA from 1 species